CAAUAGCGUAUAUUAAAGUUGUUGCAGUUAGAACGCUCGUAGUCGGAUUUCGGGGCGGGCCGACCGGUCUGCCGAUGGGUAUGCACUGGUCGGCGCGUCCUUCCUUCCGGAGACCGUCCCUACUCUUAACUGAGCGGGGGCGGGAGACGGGACUUUUACUUUGAAAAAAUCAGAGUGUUUCAAGCAGGCAGCUCGCUCUUGCAUGGAUUAGCAUGGGAUAAUGAAAUAGGACUUUGGUACUAUUUUGUUGGUUUCGAACACCGAAGUAAUGAUGAGAAGGGACAGUCAGGGGCACUCGUAUUCCGCCGAGAGAGGUGAAAUUCUCAGACCAGCGGAAGACGAACCACUGCGAAAGCAUUUGCCAGGGAUGUUUUCACUGA
rnacentral:rRNA from 1 species